rnacentral:rRNA from 1 species
UACGUAGGGUCCGAGCGUUGUCCGGAAUUACUGGGCGUAAAGAGCUCGUAGGUGGUUUGUCGCGUUGUUCGUGAAAACUCACAGCUUAACUGUGGGCGUGCGGGCGGAUACGGGCAGACUAGAGUACUGCAGGGGAGACUGGAAUUCCUGGUGUAGCGGUGGAAUGCGCAGAUAUCAGGAGGAACACCGGUGGCGAAGGCGGGUCUCUGGGCAGUAACUGACGCUGAGGAGCGAAAGCGUGGGGGAGCGAACAGG